AAUCGAUUCUUCGGUUGAGAAACAAAGGCAGUAAAACAUAAAGAUGCGUACAUUUUUGCUAAUCACGGCUUGUCUCUCGGUGCUGUCCAUCCUAUUUGGAAGCGCUCAAGGAACAUCUGAGGCCAAAACCGUUGCUGGAACCGCUCCUCGAGUUCCUACCAUUCCCAACGUUUUGAACAAGAGAGGUCCCAAAAAGGCUCGUUCAGCCCCACUGGCAUAUUGGUAAUAUUUAAGUGAUUUGGUUACAGAUUUUUCGUCUACAGAAUGUUUCAAAAAAUAAAAUAAAACAAACCAAUGCAAGUUA